GGCCAGUUGCCAGCUGCUGGAGAGAAUGAGCUUGGAGCCGCAGGGCUUAAUCCCGCGCGGCUCAGAGAUGGGUUUCUGGACUCGCGAAGCAGCUGCAACAAGGCAUCACUCACUGUAUAAGUAUUUCCAUUUCUGAGAGCAAAAGGAAGAACUUAAGCGGGCGGCACUUGGAGUGUAAAUUGCUUUGUAGUAUUUAAAGGCAGAAUGGAUCCUGGGCAGCCGAGCUGCAACAAACCGGCAGGACUUCCUGUGAAAUCAUGACCACCAUGUGCUCUUUCAGCCUCUAUCAGUUCCUACCUCUAAGCACCUGAGAGCCAAAGCAAACCACAGGAAACCACAGGUACUAACUCUUUUAGACCUGAUGAAGUGUCUCCCAAAUACAGUCUGGCAUGACUCAAACUAAACGUCAGCUUUUCCCGGCUCUCAAGCCUGCUGGUCCCUGAACUAAAACUCACAUUAUCAACUCUACUGGUUCUUAGGCCUUUGGAGUCAGACUGGAACUACAGCAUUGACUCUUCCGGAACUCCAGCUUACUGACUACAGAUCUUGGAACUUUUCAGCUUCCACAACCAUGAUGCCCUGCGGUUGUUUUCAGGACUGAAGACAACAGCUCCACGAUGUAUCUUUGCAUAAGAAUACACUUGUAUAAUAAGUUUUUUUUUUUAGAGAAAUUGCAUGUAUCUGCCUUAUAAACUUUUUCAUUCAUUCAUUUUCUUUCUUCCUAAUCUGUUCCAUAAAGCAAAUUUCUAACUUAUUGUUAAUCAAAAUAAUUAUUGAAAUAAUUAGUACUU
rnacentral:lncRNA from 1 species